AUAUUUAUUUUACCUGAGUAGUUCUAAAAAAAAAAAAAAAAAAAAUCUAUUCUUAUCAGUUUAACAUCUGAUACGUCCCCUAUCUGGGGACCAUAUAUUAAAUGGAUUUUUGGAACAGGGAGAUGGAAGAAGAGCUUGCUCUGGCCACUCCACGCAUCGACCGGGUAUUGCAGUACCUCCAGGACCGGUGCACCUCUC
rfam:Xenopus tropicalis strain Nigerian Chr08_contig_2597, whole genome shotgun sequence.